rnacentral:rRNA from 1 species
GACGAACGCUGGCGGCGUGCUUAACACAUGCAAGUCGAACGGAAAGGCCUGCUUUCCCUUGUGGAUUGCGGGUACUCGAGUGGCGAACGGGUGAGUAACACGUGAGUGAUCUGCCCCCAACUUGGGUAUAAGCCUGGGAAACUGGGUCUAAUUCCCGAUAGGACUGCAGGGUGGUGCCUGUGGUGGAAAACGAUUUUCUAGUGGUUGGGGAUGAGCUGGCGGCCUAUCAGCUUGUUGGUGGGGUAAUGGCCUACCAAGGCGGCGACGGGAAGCCGGCCUGGGAGGGUGGACGGCCACAUUGGGACUGAGAUACGGCCCAGACUCCUACGGGAGGCAGCAGUGGGGAAUAUUGCACGAGGGGCGGAAGCCUGAUGCAGCGACGCCGAGUGGGGGAUGACGGCCUUCGGGUUGUAAACUCCUUUCGACCGCGAGGAAGCCACCUGGUUGGAAGGGUGGUGACGGUAGUGGUAGAAGAAGCACCGGCUAACUACGUG